UACGUAGGGGGCAAGCGUUGUCCGGAUUUAUUGGGCGUAAAGAGCGUGUAGGCGGUUUGGUAGGUCCGUUGUGAAAACUCGAGGCUCAACCCUGGAAGGCCGGUGGAAACUGUCGGGCUAGAGUCCGGAAGAGGCGAGUGGAAUUCCCGGUGUAGCGGUGAAAUGCGCAGAUAUCGGGAGGAACACCAAUGGCGAAGGCAGCUCGCUGGGACGGUACUGACGCUGAGACGCGAAAGCGUGGGGAGCAAACAGG
rnacentral:rRNA from 1 species